GACGUAGGGUGCAAGCGUUGUCCGGAAUUAUUGGGCGUAAAGAGCUCGUAGGCGGUUUGUCGCGUCUGCUGUGAAAAUCCAGGGCUUAACCCUGGACCUGCAGUGGGUACGGGCAGACUGGAGUGCGGUAGGGGAGAUCGGAAUUCCUGGUGUAGCGGUGAAAUGCGCAGAUAUCAGGAGGAACACCGGUGGCGAAGGCGGAUCUCUGGGCCGUAACUGACGCUGAGGAGCGAAAGCAUGGGGAGCAAACAGG
rnacentral:rRNA from 1 species